UAGGGAAUCUUCGGCAAUGGGGGGAACCCUGACCGAGCAACGCCGCGUGAGUGAAGAAGGUUUUCGGAUCGUAAAGCUCUGUUGUUAAGGAAGAACGAGUGUGAGAAUGGAAAGUUCAUACUGUGACGGUACUUAACCAGAAAGGGACGGCUAACUACGUGCCAGCAGCCGCGGUAAUACGUAGGUCCCGAGCGUUGUCCGGAUUUAUUGGGCGUAAAGCGAGCGCAGGCGGUUAGAUAAGUCUGAAGUUAAAGGCAGUGGCUCAACCAUUGUAGGCUUUGGAAACUGUUUAACUUGAGUGCAGAAGUGGAUAGUGGAAUUCCAUGUGUAGCGGUGAAAUGCGUAGAUAUAUGGAGGAACACCGGUGGCGAAAGCGGCUCUCUGGUCUGUAACUGACGCUGAGGCUCGAAAGCGUGGGGAGCGAACAGG
rnacentral:rRNA from 1 species